AACUUUAAAACACACCACGUGACGUGGCAUAAGUGGGGUAGCAUGUUAGUGCAUGCUAUCACGUGAAUCUCAACUGACAACUAGCUUAGUUCAAUUUCUGGGAAUUGAUUAGCAGGGAGGUUUCAAAAAUCAGUAAGCAGAAACAAGCUUUGUUGUGCGUUGUGCGCGCGCAGGUGGUGUUUUGAACGAUGAAUCAGAAAUUUGGAGGGGGGAAACAACCCACGGGGACUCCAUCGUUGGCCUGGUCGUGCGUGGUUGUCGUCGUCUCGCUCCUCGCUGGCGCAUCCAUUGUUCACAACACAUACAAGCCUGAUCUUACAUUGCCUCCCGCGGAGAGUGUUGAUGGGGCUAAGCUGAAACAACCAGAUAAAGAAUGAAAUAUUACAUCAAAGUUUGGUUCUGCUGUUUAAAUAUCAGAUGUGGAUGCUCUAAUAAGCAGUGAUGCACCUAAUGGAGCAGAAAAUUUUUGUACUGGAAAAACUGAACCCAUAAAUUUCUUCUUAUAAAUGCUAUGUAUGUGUUCCUUAGACUAAAUAAUUUUUAUAUUUAUCUUUGACUUCA